AUAUGCUUGUCUCAAAGAUUAAGCCAUGCAUGUCUAAGUAUAAGCAAUUAUACAGCGAAACUGCGAAUGGCUCAUUAAAUCAGUUAUCGUUUAUUUGAUAGUUCCCUGCUACUUGGAUACCCGAGGUAAUUCUAUGGCUAAUACAUGCAAAAAGCCGCGACUUCGGAAGCGGCGUGUUUAUUAGACUAAAGACCGACGCCCUUCGGGGCUUCCCGGUGAUUCAUGGUAACCUGUCGGAUCGCACGGCCCCGCGCCGGCGACGGAUCAUUCAAAUUUCUGCCCUAUCAACUUUCGACUUUAGUGUAGUGGACUAAAGUGGUUGCAACGGGUAACGGAGGGUUAGGGCUCGACCCCGGAGAAGGCGCCUGAGAAACGGCGACUACAUCCAAGGAAGGCAGCAGGCGCGCAAAUUACCCAAUCCCGACACGGGGAGGUAGUGACGAUAAAUACCGAUGCAGGGCUCUUUCGGGUCUUGCAAUUGGAAUGAGUACAAUCUAAAUCCCUUAACGAGGAGCAACUAGAGGGUCAGUCUGGUGCCAGCAGCCGCGGUAAUUCCAGCUCUAGUAGCGUAUAUUAAAGUUGUUGUGGUUAAAAAGCUCGUAGUUGAACUCGGCCCGCCCUGCCGGUCCGCCUCACCGCGUGCACUGGACCGGGCGGGCUUCCCCGGGGGACGGCAUGCCCUUCGCUGGGCGUGCCGGGAACCGGACCUUUACUGUGAAAAAAUUAGAGUGUUCAAGGCAGGCUCGCGCCCGGAUACAUUAGCAUGGAAUUAUAGAAUAGGACGCGCGGUUCUAUUUUGUUGGUUAUGGGACCGCCGUAAUGAUUAAUAGGGUCAGUCGGGGGCAUCAGUAUUCGGCUGUCAGAGGUGAAAUUCUUGGAUUUGCCGAAGACUCACUACUGCGAAAGCAUUUGCCAAGGAUGUUUUCAUUAAUCAGGAACGAAAGUUAGGGGAUCGAAGACGAUCAGAUACCGUCGUAGUCUUAACCAUAAACUAUGCCGACUAGGGAUCGGGCGGUGUUGCUUUCUGACCCGCCCGGCACCUUUCGAGAAAUCAAAGUCUGUGGGUUCCUGGGGGAGUAUGGUGGCAACGCUGAAACUUAAAGAAAUUGACGGAAGGGCACCACCAGGGGUGAAGCCUGCGGCUUAAUUUGACUCAACACGGGGAAACUCACCAGGUCCAGACACAAUGAGGAUUGACAGAUUGAGAGCUCUUUCUUGAUUUUGUGGGUGGUGGUGCAUGGCCGUUUUUAGUUGGUGGAGUGAUUUGUCUGCUUAAUUGCGAUAACGAACGAGACCUUGACCUGCUAAAUAGCCCGGGCUGCUCCUGCAGCCCGCCGGCUUCUUAGAGGGACUCUUGGCUUAAGCCGAUGGAAGUGCGAGGCAAAAACAGGUCUGUGAUGCCCUUAGAUGUUCUGGGCCGCACGCGCGCGACACUGACAGGGACAGCGAGUGCCCCCUUUCCCGAGAGGGACGGGUAAUCUUGGAAACCCUGUCGUGCUGGGGAUAGGGCGUUGCAAUUAUCGCCCUUCAACGAGGAAUCCCUAGUAAGCGCGAGUCAUCAGCUCGCGUUGAUUACGUCCCUGCCCUUUGUACACACCGCCCGUCGCUACUACCGAUUGAAUGGCUUAGUGAGGCUUCCGGACUGGCCCAAGGGGGUCGGCGACGACCGCCCAGGGCCGGAAAGCUAUCC
rnacentral:rRNA from 1 species